UGGCCGGUGGAAGCCGCAAGGCUCCAGCGGUUGGACGGCUGGUUGACUGAUCUGCACUCCUGGGGGGAGCUGGCCAACAACAGUUGCCUCUGGCUCACGAGGGUGUUUGGGUAGGUAGCCUCCUCGUCUCGAGGUGGAACUUAUAGCCAUCCAUCUGGCAGUCUGGAGACGACUGAAGGAGAGAUGUGAACUUUCACACUUGCAGCACAGGCCCUCCUGGGCCGGGCCGCCUCUUUCCGUUUGGGUACCGCUCCGGGGACUGCUUGCAGUGUCCGCUGACGAAUGCCUGCUUGGUGGGGGGAAUGGUCACGCCUUGUGCUGCAGUUGUUGGUGUCCAAAUGGCUGCAUCCGACCCGUCUUGAAACACGGACCAAGGAGUGCAACAUGCGUGCGAGUCUUGGGGUGGUAAACCCAUCGGCACAAUGAAGGUGAAGGCAGAUUUUGGUCUGCUCAGGCAGGAGCCUCCUCCCAGGGGGCGCACUGUCGACCGAUCCCAGGCUACGCUGUGGUGGGAUUUGAGUAAGAGCGUGCCUGUUGCGACCCGAAAGAUGGUGAACUAUGCCUGAAUAGGGUGAAGCCAGAGGAAACUCUGGUGGAAGCUCGUAGCGAUUCUGACGUGCAAAUCGAUCGUCAAAUUUGGGUAUAGGGGCGAAAGACUAAUCGAAC
rnacentral:rRNA from 1 species